UAAUAGGAGAGCAGACACCGUUGAUGUCCUGCUGCAGAGCCCCUCGCCCCGUUGUGGCUGCAGGGGACAGCUCCAUGCCCUGUCAUCGGAUCAGCGCUGCAUCUGUGCUUCUAGAGAACCCGACCUGCAACUUGGCUUGUUAGAGAGCUCUCCUGCUAUCCACUGGACUCUAAAACAUGAAAGCUAGGGGGAGAAAAGGAAGAAGAGAAUAUGGCUCUUGCACGGCAAUGAAAGAAGGAGUUCUAAGGAUGGCAGAUGAAGCUGCCAUGUCAUAAGGACACUCACUUAGCCUUCUGGUGAAAACUGCAUGGCGAACAACUGGAAUCUGUCACCAACAUCCAGUGCCAACUUGCCAUGAAUGUGAGUGAGCCAUCUUGGAAUCAGAGCUUUAGCCCCUUCCACACUUUCAGAUGACUGCAGCCUUAGCCAGCAUCAUGACUGCCAUGCCAUCAACCCUGAGCCAGAACCACCUAGGUAAGCCACUUCUGAUUUCCUGACCCACAGAAACUGAGAUAAUCACUGGUUAUUGUU